GAGUCCUCCAAAACUUUGCAGAAAUAACCAGUGGAUUUCAACCAAAGAAUGUACCAUUGCUUCUUGUGGGAUGUGCUUUGUUCAAGAAACAGAGUAUGUUGAGCUUGGUGCCAAUUUCCAGCUGGGAUUGAACGAAGUCAGACAACCCUUCCAAAUCAUAGUGUGAGCCCAAAAGAGCUGGAAUAUUACAUUUCCUUGGGAAAAUCACUCCAAACUCAUCUUAGCAGCUCUACCUCAACCAAUAAUCCUGUUUAUCAAGAUAGCAGUGCCUUCAUCAUCAAUUAAUUUAUUUGCUUAAGUUGA